ACGUGACUCUACCACGCAAGUGCACAAAACAUGAACAAUUCUUUUUUUGCACAUCCCAAGGAAAUACAUGUGUAAUAAACAACAAAAUUGUGUUGUUUAACUUUUCCAGUAAAGCGUGUUCCUAUGCCUGUGUGCCAAAAACAAAAACCAAAUAUCCUUGCGGUGCCACAAAAUUUUCAUCUCCGGUUUCUGCCAGCGUUUAUAUGUAUAUAGACUCUGAUUUCUGCUUGUUUUGUGCUACAAAAUCUAUAAUAUUAUUUUUCAGUACCGGAUCCAGAACUGCAGCUGGAUUCGCAAUGCUGGCGCUGAGCAAAAGGCAGAUGUGAACCGACAACACCUCCGUGGCAACCUCCUCCAAGCCGAUACGCGACACGUUCCGGUCUCCGCAACCAGAGCGUAUCAUUAGAUCUCCAGCAGCAGGAUGGAUCCUUACAGGAAGUGUUUUAUAUUGUGCCAGAACGGCAUGAAGCUACCGCACAGAGAAACUACUGGUUCGGGGAACCAGUUGGAAUCGAUUUUCAUGGUCGUUUUGUGCUCUUCGUCACAGGGGGUUUUGCCGACCAAAUCUUCCGAAAUUCAUCAGUAAGAUGCUAAUAGUAUCGAUGCAAGUUUUUAGCCCAAUAGCUUACAAAAAACCUCAUGUGACGGAAAGAACAAAGCUGCCGAAAAUACUAGUCAUACUAGCUCGGCACACAGACAAUAUGAUGUGAAAAUUUAUUCCAUAUAGAGAAAAAAGGGUGGAGUGCAAUUUUAAAUCAAUCAAUAAUAAACAAUCUAAAUAAAAGUGUGUUCGCCAUUUUUUUUAACACGCAAGGAAACAAGUACUAUGUGUAGUCUUAAUUUUCUUCAAACUUAAAUCAGUUACAUUUUAAUACAUCCUCGAACAUCAUGAAUAUUUGUUGAAUAAAAUGUACAGAUUUUUUAAAUUUGAA